rfam:Aedes albopictus isolate Foshan contig86469, whole genome shotgun sequence.
UGUCCAGCAACUCCUAUCCCUACCUCCACGCGGUACCGGCCGGAAACUAUGAGCAACCUUAGGGAAGAUCGGGUAACCAACCCCGGUGGGAACUUUGGUCGUAGGCUGACAGGGAAGG